rnacentral:rRNA from 1 species
GAUACCACCCUUGUAGUACUGGGACUCUAACCAUAGGCCAUGAAUCUGGUCUUGGGACACUGUCAGGUGGGCAGUUUGACUGGGGCGGUCGCCUCCCAAAAGGUAACGGAGGCGCUCAAAGGUUCUCUCAGUACGGUCGGAAAUCGUACGUAGAGUGUAAAGGCAAAAGAGAGCUUGAUUGCAAGACAUACAGGUCGAGCAAGGAUGAAAAUCGGACUUAGUGAUCCGGUGGUUCUGCGUGGAAGGGCCAUCGCUCAACGGAUAAAAGCUACCCUGGGGAUAACAGGCUUAUCUCCCCCAAGAGUCCACAUCGACGGGGAGGUUUGGCACCUCGAUGUCGGCUCAUCACAUCCUGGGGCUGUAGUAGGUCCCAAGGGUUGGGCUGUUCGCCCAUUAAAGUGGUACGCGAGCUGGGUUCAGAACGUCGUGAGACAGUUCGGUCCCUAUCCG